AGGUAUCAGAAGUGCGAAUGCUGACAUAAGUAACGAUAAAGCGGGUGAAAAGCCCGCUCGCCGGAAGACCAAGGGUUCCUGUCCAACGUUAAUCGGGGCAGGGUGAGUCGACCCCUAAGGCGAGGCCGAAAGGCGUAGUCGAUGGGAAACGGGUUAAUAUUCCCGUACUUGGUGUUACUGCGAAGGGGGGACGGAGAAGGCUAUGUUGGCCGGGCGACGGUUGUCCCGGUUUAAGCGUGUAGGUGUGUGUUCCAGGUAAAUCCGGUUCACUUUAACACUGAGGCGUGAUGACGAGGCACUACGGUGCUGAAGCAACAAAUGCCCUGCUUCCAGGAAAAGCCUCUAAGCAUCAGGUAACAUCAAAUCGUACCCCAAACCGACACAGGUGGUCAGGUAGAGAAUACCAAGGCGCUUGAGAGAACUCGGGUGAAGGAACUAGGCAAAAUGGUGCCGUAACUUCGGGAGAAGGCACGCUGACAC
rnacentral:rRNA from 1 species